rnacentral:lncRNA from 1 species
ACAAGCCCAUAGAAAGUAAACUCUUCUUUAAUGCUGAUAGAAAAAUUUAAAAAUGCUCAAAGAAAACUGUUUAAGUUCUAAACUUAGCUCUUUAUUGAGUUUUCUUAAUACUUGAUCUCUCAAUAUCUCACAAACUCUCUGAUCUGUAUAUCAAUUUUUUUUAAAAAAUACUUGGUUUAACUCGAUUCUUAAGUGUAAUCAGAUGCUUAAAUACUAAAUACUAACUUACUUAAGGACUUUAAAAAUUCAAAAAUUUAUAUUAUUUUCUCUUUCCAACUUAAUCGACAUUGUCCUCAAUGGAGUAGAAAAAAUGAAGGGUGCAUGUAAAGAAAAAGAAAAGGAG